GGGUCGUUAGCUCAGUCGGUAGAGCAGUUGACUCUUAAUCAAUUGGUCUGGGGUUCGAAUCCCUAACGGCCCACCA
rnacentral:tRNA from 1 species